AAUGAACGCUGGCGGCGUGCUUAACACAUGCAAGUCGUGCGCGAAGGUGGCUUCGGCCACCGGAGAGCGGCGAACGGGUGAGUAACACGUGGGUGAUCUGCCUGGAAGCGGGGGAUAACCUGGGGAAACUCGGGCUAAUACCGCAUACGUUGAUAGGGUUACGGCCUUAUCAAGAAAACCGGCCUCUGCUUGCAAGCUGGUGCUUCCAGAGGAGCCCGCGGCUGAUUAGCUAGUUGGUGAGGUAAAGGCUCACCAAGGCGACGAUCAGUAGCCGGCCUGAGAGGGUGAUCGGCCACACUGGGACUGAGACACGGCCCAGACUCCUACGGGAGGCAGCAGUGGGGAAUAUUGGACAAUGGGCGCAAGCCUGAUCCAGCAACGCCGCGUGGAGGACGAAGGUCUUCGGAUCGUAAACUCCUGUCAGACGGGACGAAGGGACCGGGGCAAAUAGUUCCGGUUCUUGACGGUACUGUCAGAGGAAGCCCCGGCUAACUCCGUGC
rnacentral:rRNA from 1 species